GUCGUAACAAGGUAGCCGUACCGGAAGGUGCGGCUGGAUCACCUCCUUUCUAAGGAGCACUUCUUACCAGGCUUCGGUUUGGUCAGAGGCCAGUACAUCGGCGAAUGUCCGGUGCUGGUUGCUCAUGGGUGGAACGUUGACUAUUCGGCACGAUGAGCACGGUUUCGUUAGUACUGCUUCGGCGUGGAAAACGGGAACGGGUUGGUCGUGUCGGGCACGUUGUUGGGUAUCUGAGGGUACGGCCGAUUAUGGUUGUUCCUUCUGAUCCGGCCCCAGUGAACUCGUCUGUAAGGACGGGGUGGUGGGUGGCUGGUCGUUGUUUGAGAACUGCACAGUGGACGCGAGCAUCUGUGGCCAAGUUUUUAAGGGCGCACGGUGGAUGCCUUGGC
rnacentral:misc_RNA from 1 species